rnacentral:rRNA from 1 species
GAUGAACGCUGGCGGCGUGCCUAAUACAUGCAAGUCGAGCGAACAGACGAGGAGCUUGCUCCUCUGACGUUAGCGGCGGACGGGUGAGUAACACGUGGAUAACCUACCUAUAAGACUGGUAUAACUUCGGGAAACCGGAGCUAAUACCGGAUAAUAUAUUGAACCGCAUGGUUCAAUAGUGAAAGACGGUUUUGCUGUCACUUAUAGAUGGAUCCGCGCCGCAUUAGCUAGUUGGUAAGGUAACGGCUUACCAAGGCAACGAUGCGUAGCCGACCUGAGAGGGUGAUCGGCCACACUGGAGCUGAGACACGGUCCAGACUCCUACGGGAGGCAGCAGUAGGGAAUCUUCCGCAAUGGGCGAAAGCUUGACGGAGCAACGCCGCGUGAGUGAUGAAGGUCUUCGGAUCGUAAAAAUCUGUUAUUAGGGAAGAACAAAUGUGUAAGUAACUAUGCACGUCUUGACGGUACCUAAUAAGAAAGCAACGGCUAACUACGUG